GGUACCACUUAAGAGGCUCUCAAAGGAGGUCAUCUUGAGUUAUGUAGCAGUUUGAAAGCAGCUUAGGCCACAUGAGUCUCAAAAAAAAGUUGGUAUUUAUUUUAAUCACUCUAGACUAGUAGUGUGCACCCAAAACCCCAGCACUCAGAAAAUGAAAGUAGGAAAAUCAUGGGUUUGAAACCAACUGAGGAUACAUGCCAAUUUAAAGCAGAUAUGGACUACAUACAGAGACCCUGUUUCCUCCCACCUCCCAUCCCCCCAAAAAAGGAGUAUUGAAUAUAUAAAAAACAGAUUUUCAGAUCACCAACACUUUUAGUCAGGAAAGGAUACUUUGGGUUUUGUUUAGAGACAAACUGGUUUUUGGCUUGUCUGAAACUAUGUAGACCUAGCUGGCUUCUCACACAACAGAGGUCUACCUUACUUUGACUGCCAAGUGCUAGGAUUAAAGGCAUAGGCCACCAUGCUCAGCCACAAGGAAGAUAACUUUGGGGCUAGCAUUAAAAUUUACUAGUGAAGCAUUUGUCUACCAUGUUCAAGAUCCUGGACACUGAGGGACAGGGUGUGGGGCGCAGGUAAAAAAAAAAAAAAGAGAGAGAGAUAUUUACUGGGACAUGAUUGCUGAAGCUCGUAAUCCCAGCUCUCAGUAGGCUGAGUCAGGAGGAUGGUCUCAAAUUGAAGAAGAGGCCCAAGGUACAGGGGUAACGCCUAUCUCAAUAAGUAAGUGUGGCAUGUGCCUGUAACCCAGAAUUGGGAGGUGGAGGUAGGCAAAUCCUGCUAAGUUGGAGGACAGCCUGAACUAGGUAGUGAGAACCUGUCUCAAAAAAGCAAAACAAAUACUGAGAUUUUUUUUGUCUUUUCCAGAUGAUGAGGAAUCUGAUGAAGAAGCUGUGAAGAAAACUAACAAAUGUGUACUAGUGUGGGAGGGCACAGCCAAAGACCGGAGCUUUGGAGAGAUGAAGUUCAAACAGUGCCCUACAGAGAACAUGGCGCGUGAGCAUUUCAAGAAGCACGGGGCUGAGCACUACUGGGACCUUGCCCUGAGUGAAUCUGUGCUGGAGUCCACCGACUGAGACGACUGCUAGCCUUGUGUCUUCUUCUCACUCUGCUUCCCAACCUUACCCAACUGUGCGUGUGAUCUCAGAACCGUGCCAGGCUGAUACUGGGGCAAAGAGACUACCAAGUUCACCCAGUCAGCCUGGUGCUACCCUUCCUCCUGUAUGUGCAUAUGAUUAAAGAGUUAUUUUUAAAAUUA
rnacentral:lncRNA from 1 species